UUAAUUCUCCUUACUUUCUUGCUGAUUUCAUGCCUCUGCCGUCCAGCCCAAAUAGACCUUGGGUCUAUUUGCUUUUUAAGCCCUCUUCCUUUUAUCAUUUAAGCUAUUUAAUUAUUUCCCAAAAUUUUGCAUUUGUUACAAUUUAGUCCUUUUUGUUCAAUUAAUUAUCGGAACUUUAAAAUUUCUUAACGAAACUUUAAUACUAACUUUUUAACACUCCAUAAAUAUUUAUAAAAAUAUUUAUGGCUCAGUUUAAAAUCCCCGAGGUCUUGAUACCUCAUUUCGAUUCUAAUUAUUUUAAUAUUUAUUUCUAGUGCACUAUUCACUAUUUCAAAAAUUUUCCUAACUUCAUAUUUAACUUAUACUUACUAAAUUAAUAAUAUUUUCUACCCAUUUGUCGAAUUUAGUGAUCUCGAAUCACC
rnacentral:lncRNA from 1 species